rnacentral:rRNA from 1 species
GUUAAGCGACUAAGCGUACACGGUGGAUGCCCUGGCAGUCAGAGGCGAUGAAGGACGUGCUAAUCUGCGAUAAGCGUCGGUAAGGUGAUAUGAACCGUUAUAACCGGCGAUUUCCGAAUGGGGAAACCCAGUGUGAUUCGUCACACUAUCAUUAACUGAAUCCAUAGGUUAAUGAGGCGAACCGGGGGAACUGAAACAUCUAAGUACCCCGAGGAAAAGAAAUCAACCGAGAUUCCCCCAGUAGCGGCGAGCGAACGGGGAGCAGCCCAGAGCCUGAAUCAGUGUGUGUGUUAGUGGAAGCGUCUGGAAAGGCGCGCGAUACAGGGUGACAGCCCCGUACACAAAAAUGCACAUGCUGUGAGCUCGAUGAGUAGGGCGGGACACGUGGUAUCCUGUCUGAAUAUGGGGGGACCAUCCUCCAAGGCUAAAUACUCCUGACUGACCGAUAGUGAACCAGUACCGUGAGGGAAAGGCGAAAAGAACCCCGGCGAGGGGAGUGAAAAAGAACCUGAAACCGUGUACGUACAAGCAGUGGGAGCACAGAGCAAUCUGUGUGACUGCGUACCUUUUGUAUAAUGGGUCAGCGACUUAUAUUCUGUAGCAAGGUUAACCGAAUAGGGGAGCCGAAGGGAAACCGAGUCUUAACUGGGCGUUAAGUUGCAGGGUAUAGACCCGAAACCCGGUGAUCUAGCCAUGGGCAGGUUGAAGGUUGGGUAACACUAACUGGAGGACCGAACCGACUAAUGUUGAAAAAUUAGCGGAUGACUUGUGGCUGGGGGUGAAAGGCCAAUCAAACCGGGAGAUAGCUGGUUCUCCCCGAAAGCUAUUUAGGUAGCGCCUCGUGAAUUCAUCUCCGGGGGUAGAGCACUGUUUCGGCAAGGGGGUCAUCCCGACUUACCAACCCGAUGCAAACUGCGAAUACCGGAGAAUGUUAUCACGGGAGACACACGGCGGGUGCUAACGUCCGUCGUGAAGAGGGAAACAACCCAGACCGCCAGCUAAGGUCCCAAAGUCAUGGUUAAGUGGGAAACGAUGUGGGAAGGCCCAGACAGCCAGGAUGUUGGCUUAGAAGCAGCCAUCAUUUAAAGAAAGCGUAAUAGCUCACUGGUCGAGUCGGCCUGCGCGGAAGAUGUAACGGGGCUAAACCAUGCACCGAAGCUGCGGCAGCGACGCUUAUGCGUUGUUGGGUAGGGGAGCGUUCUGUAAGCCUGUGAAGGUGUACUGUGAGGUAUGCUGGAGGUAUCAGAAGUGCGAAUGCUGACAUAAGUAACGAUAAAGCGGGUGAAAAGCCCGCUCGCCGGAAGACCAAGGGUUCCUGUCCAACGUUAAUCGGGGCAGGGUGAGUCGACCCCUAAGGCGAGGCCGAAAGGCGUAGUCGAUGGGAAACAGGUUAAUAUUCCUGUACUUGGUGUUACUGCGAAGGGGGGACGGAGAAGGCUAUGUUGGCCGGGCGACGGUUGUCCCGGUUUAAGCGUGUAGGCUGGUUUUCCAGGCAAAUCCGGAAAAUCAAGGCUGAGGCGUGAUGACGAGGCACUACGGUGCUGAAGCAACAAAUGCCCUGCUUCCAGGAAAAGCCUCUAAGCAUCAGGUAACAUCAAAUCGUACCCCAAACCGACACAGGUGGUCAGGUAGAGAAUACCAAGGCGCUUGAGAGAACUCGGGUGAAGGAACUAGGCAAAAUGGUGCCGUAACUUCGGGAGAAGGCACGCUGAUAUGUAGGUGAAGUCCCUCGCGGAUGGAGCUGAAAUCAGUCGAAGAUACCAGCUGGCUGCAACUGUUUAUUAAAAACACAGCACUGUGCAAACACGAAAGUGGACGUAUACGGUGUGACGCCUGCCCGGUGCCGGAAGGUUAAUUGAUGGGGUCAGCGCAAGCGAAGCUCUUGAUCGAAGCCCCGGUAAACGGCGGCCGUAACUAUAACGGUCCUAAGGUAGCGAAAUUCCUUGUCGGGUAAGUUCCGACCUGCACGAAUGGCGUAAUGAUGGCCAGGCUGUCUCCACCCGAGACUCAGUGAAAUUGAACUCGCUGUGAAGAUGCAGUGUACCCGCGGCAAGACGGAAAGACCCCGUGAACCUUUACUAUAGCUUGACACUGAACAUUGAGCCUUGAUG